AAUUAGAAAAAAGAUGAUCAAUCGUUUCUUCAACUGCUUCGUUCCCAUGAUCUCAAAAUGCUCCACUUCGCCUCUCUUUUUCAACAAUAAGAGCAACAACAUGAUUUUCUACAAAAAAAAGCCUCCACAUCUCUUCCUUUUUCAAUCAGAUAAAAAAAAAUUGAAUUUGUCGUUCCAUGUUCUAAUUUGAGGGUUAUCAUCAAUCACAUGUUUAUGUUCAAGAUGUUCCUAAUUACGCCGUCGUUUUUUGAAUCGAAAUUCGUUCCGACAACUUUCAGACAGAAAUCUAUCACCCCAAACAGAUGUUCUUAUCUACAGGAUUACAAGAAAUGCUAAAAUUUUUAUAGCAGAUCAAGAUGCAUUUAACAACUCAAAACAUAGCCUCAAUAAGAGCUUAACUACAGUGAAUUCAUAAACUUUGUAUUUAAUUGGUGGUGCCAUGCUUCAAACUCAAGAACACAACACCAUGGCCACGACGAUGAACUAUACUGACCAAAACACCACCAAUUAUCUGCACUCCUAAACUCUUCACGCUCUCUCAAGAACAAACCCACAUUUUAAGGUAUACAUUAAAAUUGAUUUUCAUUUUGUUAAUAUAACAACA